rnacentral:rRNA from 1 species
UACGGAGGAUCCAAGCGUUAUCCGGAUUUAUUGGGUUUAAAGGGUGCGUAGGCGGCGUUGUAAGUCAGUGGUGAAAGUUUUCAGCUUAUCUGGAAAAUUGCCAUUGAUACUGCAGUGCUUGAGUACAGAUGAGGUGGGCGGAAUGUGUCAUGUAGCGGUGAAAUGCAUAGAUAUGACACAGAACACCAAUUGCGAAGGCAGCUCACUAAACUGUAACUGACGCUGAGGCACGAAAGCGUGGGGAUCAAACAGG